CGGACGACGGCUGGCGGCGUGCUUAAUACAUGCAAGUCGAGCGAGGCCUUGGAAUUGGAGUCCUUCGGGAUGAAGAGUCCUUGGCCUAGCGGCGGACGGGUGAGUAACGCGUGGGCAACCUACCCCAAAGUCCGGGAUAACAGUGGGAAACCGCUGCUAAUACCGGAUGGCUUUACCUGAGGGCAUCCUUGGGUAAAGAAAGGUUACGCUUUGGGAUGGGCCCGCGUCCCAUUAGCUAGUUGGUGAGGUAACGGCUCACCAAGGCGACGAUGGGUAGCCGGCCUGAGAGGGUGAACGGCCACACUGGGACUGAGACACGGCCCAGACUCCUACGGGAGGCAGCAGUAGGGAAUAUUGCGCAAUGGGCGGAAGCCUGACGCAGCGACGCCGCGUGAGUGAUGAAGGCCUUCGGGUCGUAAAGCUCUGUUCUUGAGGACGAAUAAGCCAGGGAGUGGAAAGCCCUGGUGAUGACUGUACUCAAGGAGAAAGCUCCGGCUAACUACGUG
rnacentral:rRNA from 1 species